rnacentral:lncRNA from 1 species
UAAAAUAAUUUGUGCAUCACUUGUUUCCAGUGUUAAAGAAAGCCUGGAUUAAGAUUUCAAUCUUAAUUCACAGACACGGUUGUGGAUACGUGGAACAAAUCAGCAGCAUCAUUCUUUGUUCUUCGCCCUGUACAUUCCAUUGAGUAUUCCUGGACAAGAGCAGAAAACAGAAAAUCAGACAGAUUUCAUGAAAUAGCUAGGAUUUCUUCUAGAUUGCCUCAUCCAAUGUCAACAGAUUCCCUAGAAAUAUGUGGAUCAAGAGUAGGAAAGAGCUCAGUUCUUGCCAUAUUGGCAAUCAGAAUAUGGAUUUUUCCAAGAAGAUUUUCCAGCUGAACAGUGUCAGCUUAAGGCCUUGCAGAAACCCUUUCUUGCUGUCACUCAUUUCCCAUCCUAUGAAAUAA